rnacentral:misc_RNA from 1 species
AUGCAAUUUUGAAAAGAAAGAUCAUCUCCACUUUACAAAUUAACAAUAAAAUAGUGAUAACAAAUGUUCUCUUGGAUUAAAACUUGAAUCAAUAGGGUUCAAUUUUAUUUAUUUAUUUUGCAAUCAGGUGAUGUUACAGGGUAUUGCAAAUGAUGUCAACUAGUGAUUAGCUUGAUCUUAAGUACAGGGAACAAAUUUGAAAAAGAAGAGAGCUAAUGGAGAACACCAA